AUUCGAUAGCAGAUCCACUAAAACAAGGAUUGAAAC
rnacentral:other from 1 species